rnacentral:pre_miRNA from 1 species
CUCGGCUCAGGUUCUGUGGUACACUUGGACUCGGACUCUGGAGCAGUCAGUGCAUGACAGAACUUGGGCUUGGA